UGAAGUAAACAUAGAAGUUCCAAGAGAGAAAAGCCCCCUUUAUAUAUAUAGAUUCUUAUUGCAAGAGAGAUGAUAUUUAUAAACAAGACAAUAAUAGAAAUUAGGCAUAUUAUUUUCAUUAGAUGUACAAAGCUAUCAUAGAUAAAAACUAAGAAAUUAUGAUAUAUUUUUUAUAAAUAUAAUUAGGUUUAAAAAAAAGCUAUUUCGAAAUUCUUAUGGAUGUAUAUAUCAAAUUUAUGAGAAUAUUUAUAAUAGUAAAUAAAAGUACCAAUAUAUUCAAGAAUUUUUUUAUAAAAACUUAGUUAACAGAGACUGAAGUUAUGUAUCAUAACAUCAACGGUACCCGAAAAUGAUUUUUUUAAAAACAGCUAAGUAAAUUUAAACAUAAUAUAUAAUCAAAAUUAAAAGAAAAAUGUCAAAAUUAAAGAAGAAAUUUUGAAGAGGGAAAAUAACUUAUACUGUCACAAUGAAGUCCCAAAAAAUUGCCACAUCUUCAACAUAAACAAAGUAUGUGAGGAUUGUUACUAUUUUAUUAGGAUGAAACAAUUUUUUUUCCUUCAAACAUGAUAAUCACAAAAAACAAAUUGACAUUUUUCCUUCUCAAAUAUCAACUGUAUUUUAUGUUUAAAUUUCAACUAAAUUAACUUUGUUACGACUAUCGGUUUUUAUUAUACUUUUAUUUAAUCGAUCAGUCACAACCACUUAUGCUAUUUCACUUUGAACUAAGCAACUUCAAAAAAAGUUAUACACUAUGGUCGCUAACCACUAUCAAAUGGAUCAGAAAAUAUAUUAUUUUUCAACAUAUUUUCUCAUCUUCAUAUUUUUGAACAUAUUUUCUUUACAAAAACUAUAAAAUAAAAUAUAAAUUCAUUUAAGAAUAAAAUAUAUGAACCCGGCGCGUAGCGCCGGAAAACCACUAGUUUUAUAUAAAAUGAAUGGUUUUGUAAUUUACGUUUUGGAUUUAGGUUGUGCGGGUCCGAGAAUUAAAGGAGGAGGAGAGGUUACAUGGUUCUAAGUAGGUAACAUGGCAAAAUAAUUGUUGGACUAAACAUAUAUUAAUAGGUAUGGUAUUAUUUUAAUAGAAUAGAUGAUAAUUUAUCAAUAUAUAAAAACGAGAUUCCAAAUUACUAUAGUUCACGAGAGGCCCAUUAUAGCUAACCUAACUUAAUGUUUUAUAUAAAUUUGACCUGAGAGGCCCAUGAGAUUUUUCUUGGAAUCGUCUGCCGUACUUACAUAGUGGAGAAAGUUAUAAAAAAAGUUUUGGGUAAAAUUAGUCAAGAAAGUUAAACGCCAUAUAAAGUCAUUUGUCUUAUAAAGAUACUGCAAUUUUUUUGAUGUUCUUUUUUUCUUUUUGGGUAAAGUUUUAAAAGAAAUUAACAAGUUCUAUGACGUUGAUGAUUUUAUCCUCCACCUUUUUUGUUUGGUUUUCCUCAAAUCUACACCUUUUUGUUUAUGUUACCAUACAUAAUAAAUAAACUUUAUAAUCAAGAUCUAGAAUACAUAAAUAUGAUUAUAAAGAAAUAGGUAUACGGCAUAUGAUUACAAAGAAACGAAUGUAUGCCGGAUCUAUCAAUACUAUUAAAACUGAAGGGGUUUUUUUGAGGUCACCUUGAAGUUUUGAAGUAUUUACAGAUCUCUGCCACUGAAAUAUUUUAAAGCUAUGCUUUUUAAUUAUAUUAUUAUUAUUCCACUAAAUCUUUUUUCUAACAAACAAGAUAUUGCCUUUUAUCUAUUCCUUUCAACUAAAUCGUUUAGGCAUAAAAAAUUAUCUAUAUUAUUUCUAUUAACUGUACCAAUCUGGUGGAAAAAUUCAGCAAGAAAUCUAGGCUUGAUUUUGGAGACUGGAGCUCACGAGCCACCGCUAAACCAACGACUCCGACACCAAUUACGACUGCACUGUUUAAUCCUCUAGAGAUUCUUCUUUAAUUGGCCACAAGGACGUAGCUGCAUUUGGGUCAGAAGAACAUUUCUUCUAGCUGUUAAAUGGGAUUAGCCAUCAUUGUGGCAUUACCUAAUUGUGAAAAAGUAAGUUCUUCAUUUUACCAAAAAAAAAAAAGUAAGUUCUUGCUGUUUGCUUUGGGUUUUAUUAUGUGUGUCAUUUCUUUCGUCAUACACGGCAUUCGUUGAUCAGACAUCAAAGGCAACUUAUUCACUUUGGAAGCAUCAUUGCCAUGUGGCGUUAGUCGUUACAUUUCUGUUUCAAAAGGUAUGUUAUUAACUUUGGAAGCAUCGGCCAUCAUUGAUCAUAUUAUUAGAUUUUCAUAUCAUGGAUUUUCAUUAACUUAAUUCAGGGUUUGCGUUAAAAUGCUAUAUAAUAUCUUUAACAACUAUUUUACAUGGUUUUAUAAUUAAAAUAUUGUUGAAUAACAGUUUUUCAACUGAUAUCUUUAACAAAAUUGAUUUUGUUCUUUGUUUACGAGAUAUUCUUUUAUGCUAAAAGUAUUUUUGUAUAAUCAUCCUAAAUAAAUUGUAAAAAAUUUAAGUAUUUGACUCAUUUGAGUUAUCACACUUUUAUUCUAUAAUUCAUAAAAGAUUUGAAUAUUGUGUGAGGCUACUCAUAAGAAUAACUUGUGAUUACAUUUUGAAAAGAUUUGUGCUUUAAAAAAAAAUCUAAGUAUAUUUAAAUAUAUAACUUCCUUAAUUUCAAUAUAUUUUGAUAAUAAUCCUAACUAAAUUGUAAGAAAAAUAUAUAUUUGAAUUUUUAAUAUCAUACAAGAUUUUAAUAUUUAAUUUAUAAAAGAUGUGUAUAUUGCGCUUUCAUUUUGAAAAUAUUAUUUGCUUCCAAAAUUGAAAAAUAUAAAUAUACUGGAAUAAAUUACUUCCUUAAAUUUGAUAUAGAAAAAUUCCAUAAUUUUGUAUUUAAUGAGAGAUUUUGCAUAUAUCAACUUCCAUAAUUUGUAAGAAGAUAUUCCUCUCAAUAACUUGUGCAAUACUAAAUAUUAAUAAAUCUACUAUUUUUGGUAUUGAUUACGAUUUAUAAAGUAUAGAAAAUUAGAUUAAAAUAUCUAUUAAUUUAUAUGAACCAACAUUAGAUAUUUUAAUCUAAUUUUCUAUACUUUAUAAAUCGUAAUCAAUACCAAAAAUAGUAGAAAACCCAAGAAAAACUGAAAACCCAAUGGAUUUUCUUUUUUCCUUCUUGAGCAUUUCCUUCUUGAGCAUAGAAAACCCAACAUUAGAAAAUUAGAUUAAACCCAAGAAACCCACUUAAAGUAUAGAAAACCACACCGAUUCAAUAACAAUUCCUAUAUUUUGUAAAAGAAAAACUGAAACCAAAUUGAAAGAAAAUUGAGAACCGAACUAUCCAAAAUACAAUUUAUAUAUCUAAAAUAAUAAUUAUAUUUAGUUUUAAAAUGAUCGAAUAAUCUAAAAGUACUAUUUAAAAACUAAACUACCCAUAAAUUUGGAUUAUCCUAUUACUUUUUAUCCAAAAUAUUUUAAAUUAUCCUAACUCUCCUAUAGAACUGAAUCACCAAUAUAUUUUUAUCCAAACUAUUUAAAUUUAUCCUAUAUUUUAUCAAAAAAAUUUAAAAUAAUUUUUUUAUCUGAAUUAUUCAAAACUAUCCGAAAAAUGGGAACCGAACCUGAACCUAAUUGAACUCAAAAUUUUAUCAGAUUUUUAACAUUGUUAUUCGAACAACACCCAAAAACCAUAAUAACCAAACCGAAACUAAUUCCAAAUUCAUAAAAAAACCUACAAAAACCGAAAAAACAAAACCACAACCAAACCAAAACCGAACCAAAACUAAAAAGAAAAAAUUGGAACAUAACCAAAAACCGAACACCCAUGCUUAAACUUAUAACGAACAAACAAACGGGUUAAUAAAUUUGUCAACAAAAAAUAGUUCCGCGCUUUUAAAGAGCGGGUCAAAAUCUAGUUUAUAAUUAGAAAGAAAAGAGCAUACGGACAUGUGAUUAAAAUAAUAAAUAGACUUUAUAAUUAUAUUUGUCUAUUCUAUAGCAUGCAUUACGAACAAAUUGUAUCAAAUACCAUUAUAAUCAUGCAAUCUUUAAUAAUCCCGGUUUGUUAACG